GGCCUCCAGGGAUGGGGCAUCCACAACCUCCCUGGGGCAGCCUGUUCCAGUGUGUCACCACCCUCUGGGUGAAAAACUUCCUCCUAAUAUCUAACAUAAACCUCCCCUGUCUCAGUUUGAAACCAUUCCCCCUUCUCCUGUCACAAUCCACCCAUAAUCUCUAUAUUACUAUCCGUAAUUCUGCCAUGUUAAGAAAAAAUUAAUAAAUUAUUUUUAUAUAUACUCUGAGGCUGUACUUUUUCUUGCUGAUGCUUUGCAACUAUUUCUUAAUUAUUUUCUCAAAUUUUGGAGGCUUUUAUGACUUUUCCAGCUAGCUGCGGGGAUCCCUCCUUCACUCCAGUAAUUCAGGUGGGUUCUGCCCCUUUCUGUCUUGGUGGCAUCGGAGUAUCCUGUGCACCAGUGUCCUCUAUCGCAUUACGCUCCUGUGCUUCUGACAUGCUAGACCAUCUAAUCAAUGUAAUCCAAUUAGUCUGAUUUUCGCUUUCCUCCACCUGACUCGAGGCAGGGCCCUUCUAGUACUGCUUCUUUUAUUCAUAUUUCUAUCCCACUGCUUCACUGUGUCCCCACUGUCACGCAAGCAGGACCUCAGGGUGGCAUGUGGUGUGUGUGUACCCACCGUAUAUAUUGUAGGAGAGAGUCUUGUCCAUGCAGGUGGAGACAAGGGUAUAUUCCCAUUGAAUUGCUGGACCCCUUGGGAAAGCUUCUCCUCGGCUGAAAUGCCGGUUGAUGGGGAGGAGGAGAGACUUUCUUCAUCUUGCUGGCUUGCUCGGCCAGCCAGUCCAUCCACCAUUUGUUCUUCUCCAUCUUUCCAGGUCAUUGCUACCAGUGAGCUGGCAUUUGGUGAUGGUGCAUUCCGUGCCACUUUUUGCCACACGGAUUGCGUGCAGUUGAUGCUAUCUGGAUUUUGUGGUGGUUGUUCAGGCUAAUCUUAUGCACUGCCUCCAGCACUGCUGGAGACAGGGGAUACCUCUUUCCAUGCUGUUUCUCUUGCCUGGCUGACGUGUAGCAUCCUACCUGUAGGGACACCUUUCCUUCUCAGCUGGCAGGAGUCACAUCCAGAGUGGGAGAGAUUUUCCCAGUUUUGCAACCGCUUGGACAGUACCUCCUCCCUAGAGAGGCAACCCAGCUGCCUGACUUCCAUGCCCACUCAAUCCAGGCUGUUGGCCCCAUCAUCCCAGCAUGUGAGCAGCCAGGUGACAAUGGGUUCACCUGGACGAUGGCUGAAAUUUUUUCUGCGUAUCUCACAGCUCCUGUCGGGACUGGCAUUAGGUUGCUACUGGCUCAUGUAUAACCUCUGCCUCUUCCUCCUGCUCUUGUGAUCAGCCAGCUAUGAAGUAGCCUUCUUCAUCCUGUUCGUCCUUCCUUUUCUCAGGGUUCUGCUUGUAUGCAGAGAUGAGUUCCAUACAUGUCAGAGGUGACAGUCAAGGUAGAUACUGUCCACUUCCCC
ensembl:lncRNA